rnacentral:lncRNA from 1 species
AGCAAUUAUUACUUGGUCGGACUUGUUAAUUUAGAAGCAAUCACUUCAGUCAACCGGUAAAUUGUAAAGCCUAUCACAUAUGUUAUGCCUUAGCAUACUAGCUUUUGCAAAAAGACUUUUUAAACCUCGAUGUUUUAUUACUUCGAAUCUUACCCUUUGAACCAUCGCACUUUAGCGUGACACACCAUCGUACUUUAGCGAACAAACAAC